GACGAACGCUGGCGGCGUGCUUAACACAUGCAAGUCGAACGGAAAGGCCUGCUUUCCCUUGUGGAUUGCGGGUACUCGAGUGGCGAACGGGUGAGUAACACGUGAGUGAUCUGCCCCCAACUUGGGUAUAAGCCUGGGAAACUGGGUCUAAUUCCCGAUAGGACUGCAGGGUGGUGCCUGUGGUGGAAAACGAUUUUCUAGUGGUUGGGGAUGAGCUCGCGGCCUAUCAGCUUGUUGGUGGGGUAAUGGCCUACCAAGGCGGCGACGGGUAGCCGGCCUGAGAGGGUGGACGGCCUCAUUGGGACUGAGAUACGGCCCAGACUCCUACGGGAGGCAGCAGUGGGGAAUAUUGCACAAUGGGCGGAAGCCUGAUGCAGCGACGCCGCGUGGGGGAUGACGGCCUUCGGGUUGUAACCUCCUUUCGACCGCGAGGAAGCCACCUGGUUGGAAGGGUGGUGACGGUAGUGGUAGAAGAAGCACCGGCUAACUACGUG
rnacentral:rRNA from 1 species